GUUGAACGCUGGCGGCAGGCUUGACACAUGCAAGUCGAGCGGGGGAAGGUAGCUUGCUACCGGACCUAGCGGCGGACGGGUGAGUAAUGCUUAGGAAUCUGCCUAUUAGUGGGGGACAACAUCUCGAAAGGGAUGCUAGUACCGCAUACGUCCUACGGGAGAAAGCAGGGGAUCUUCGGACCUUGCGCUAAUAGAUGAGCCUAAGUCAGAUUAGCUAGUCGGUGGGGUAAAGGCCUACCAAGGCGACGAUCUGUAGCGGGUCUGAGAGGAUGAUCCGCCACACUGGGACUGAGACACGGCCCAGACUCCUACGGGAGGCAGCAGUGGGGAAUAUUGGACAAUGGGGGGAACCCUGAUCCAGCCAUGCCGCGUGUGUGAAGAAGGCCUUAUGGUUGUAAAGCACUUUAAGCGAGGAGGAGGCUACUUUAGUUAAUACCUAGAGAUAGUGGACGUUACUCGCAGAAUAAGCGCCGGCUAACUCUGUGCCAGCCGCCGCAGUAA
rnacentral:rRNA from 1 species